rnacentral:rRNA from 1 species
GACGGGGGGGGCAAGUGUUCUUCGGAAUGACUGGGCGUAAAGGGCACGUAGGCGGUGAAUCGGGUUGAAAGUGAAAGUCGCCAAAAAGUGGCGGAAUGCUCUCGAAACCAAUUCACUUGAGUGAGACAGAGGAGAGUGGAAUUUCGUGUGUAGGGGUGGAAAUCCGUAGAUCUACGAAGGAACGCCAAAAGCGAAGGCAGCUCUCUGGGUCCCUACCGACGCUGGGUGCGAAAGCAUGGGGAGCGAACAGG